GAUGAACGCUGGCGGCGUGCCUAAUACAUGCAAGUCGAGCGAACAGAUAAGGAGCUUGCUCCUUUGACGUUAGCGGCGGACGGGUGAGUAACACGUGGGUAACCUACCUAUAAGACUGGAAUAACUCCGGGAAACCGGGGCUAAUGCCGGAUAACAUGUUGAACCGCAUGGUUCUACAGUGAAAGGCGCCUUUGCUGUCUCUUAUAGAUGGACCCGCGCCGUAUUAGCUAGUUGUUGAGGUAACGGCUCACCAAGGCAACGAUACGUAGCCGACCUGAGAGGGUGAUCGGCCACACUGGAACUGAGACACGGUCCAGACUCCUACGGGAGGCAGCAGUAGGGAAUCUUCCGCAAUGGGCGAAAGCCUGACGGAGCAACGCCGCGUGAGUGAUGAAGGUCUUCGGAUCGUAAAACUCUGUUAUUAGGGAAGAACAAAUGCGUAAGUAACUGUGCGCGUCUUGACGGUACCUAAUCAGAAAGCCACGGCUAACUACGUG
rnacentral:rRNA from 1 species